rnacentral:tRNA from 1 species
ACCUGAAGUGGUGCUAGGGGUAAUUCCUAAACCGCGGGUCGUACGUUCAAUUCGUAUCGGGGGCACCA